rnacentral:rRNA from 1 species
CAGCAGCCGCGGUAAUACGAAGGGUGCAAGCGUURCUCGGAAUUACUGGGCGUAAAGCGUGCGUAGGUGGUGAGUUAAGCCUGUCGUGAAAUCCCCGGGCUCAACCUGGGAAUGGCGAUGGAUACUGGCUCGCUAGAGUGCGGUAGAGGAUAGYGGAAUUCCCGGUGUAGMRGUGAAAUGCGUAGAUAUGCGGAGGAACACCGAUGGCGAAGGCARUCCCCUGGGCCUGCAYUGACGCUCAUGCRCGAAAGCKUGGGGAGCAAACAGGAUUAGAUACCCCGGUAGUCCUGGCCYUAAACGAUGAAUACUUGGUGUCUGGAGUUUCAAGACUUGGGGUGCCGUCGCUAACGUUUUAAGUAUUCCGCCUGGGGAGUACGCUCGCAAGASUGAAACUCAAAGGAAUUGACGG